ensembl:lncRNA
AUAAUUGGGAUGAAGAGGUUAAAAGCCAAAAAUUAAAAAGAGAUCAGGCUAAAUACCAAACGCUGGCAACUGCCAUUCAGGGCUCCCAAAAAUACAGGCUCCCUCCUGAGGACAAUGGCUCCAAGGCCCCUCCAGACCCAUGUUACAGAAGCCACUGAAAGGUCAGCUGUGACCAAGCUCUUCAGGAGAGGCCACAUCCCUGCCUUUGGAGAGACCUGAAUCAUCAAACCUCCACCUGCCGAGCCACCUUGGCCUGACUGCAGAAGACUGAGGGUGCCUGGGGCCCCCGGCCCCAGGCCUAUCACUCCAUCGGAGCCCUGGGGAACUCUGCUAGUUGCAGACCGGCGAGGCAGACACACACACUGGAGAUUGUCAUCGAAGGCAACACAUACUUCAGUAGAGAGAAGUGCAGGCCUGGAGGAGGAGGUGCGUUAACUCUGCUUAGGGGAAUGGAAGCACCUUUACAAGGGUUCAAAGCUGCCGCUAGGAUGCGAAGGACAAGAAUGACACCAGUUAUGUAGUGCUUACCGCCUAUGAACUGUCCUAGUCUAAGCAUUUUCCAUGUAUUAACCUAUUUAAUUUUCCGAAAGCCCUACAAGGAUGGUACAGUUAUCAUCCCCACAGGAACCUGAGUCAUAGAGAAGGUAAAUGACAUGUUCAAUGUCACCUACUAGGGAUUUUACUCUGUGUCCUUAACCCCUGAUUUGCUAGGAUUAUGGGGGUGUUUGGAAGGGGUGUGCGUGGAUGACAUUCUGGGCUGAGGGAACAGCAUGGGUGAAAGGCCCAAAGACAGGAGAGAACGUGGCGUGUUUGUGAUUUUGUUUUACGUUUCGGUGGGAAAGGAACACAGCCGCUGAUCACAUGUGCAUCAUUUUUCUUUCACCGCAAAGGUUUUUCUAGAGGCUAUUAGGAAAAGAAUUUGUCAACACCAUUUCUUAAAAUCUGAAUGUUUUUAAAUGGCUGCUGUCCAACUGUUCACCCUGCUGAGUCGUUGGCUGAGGGUUUUUAAAUACAUCGCCAGCAGAAGGGUACACAUUUCUUGAUUUCCCAUUAUUCCCCAAAUCGAUUUAUUCUAAUGCUACUUGAGGCUAGAAUUGCGAGAUUGAUUCCCCCGGAAGAUAGCACUUCUGGGAGAAAAAUGAUUGGGCAUAACCACCAAGUGUAUUCCUGGUCAUGGCUGAAAUUCUCGCCAACAUCAGCUAUUGAUCACCAGUGAGAUAGCAUGUCCCUUGCAGUGUUUCAUCCCCCCUCUGGAUAGGUGACAAAUACCCAAUGUGUGCUUUAGCAGCAAAACUAAAUGUGGCAGUACUUGGCCUACAGCAGCACUGAAACGAGUGCUGGCCAGUUCCAUAUUUCUUGGGUCAUUUUCUGUUCUAAAUAUGCUGGAGGAUAGGUCAUUCAUUCAGCUUUUUUCAAGUGCCUACUGUAGUAAACGCUCGUAAUAACAGUUAUCAUUAAUAGAACGCACCACUUGACAGGCACUGUGCUAAAUAACCACCUUAAAAUUAUUAGCACAUUUAAUCCUCAUGAUAACCCCAUGAAGUAAGAGUAUUAUUACCUCCAGAUGAGAAAACAGAGGGAUUAGUUCAUUGAACUGGCAAAGCUUGGAGUUCCCUUUGUGGCACGGAGGAAAGGAAUCCGACUAAGAACCGUGGAGUACCUGGUUUGAUCCCUGACCUUGCUCAGCGGGUUAAGGAUCUGGUAUUGCCGUGAGCUGUGGUGUAGGUGGCAGACGCAGCUCGGAUCUGGUGGAUCUGGCAUUGCUGUGGCUGUGGUGUAGGCUGGCAGCUGUAGCUCUGAUUCUACCCCUAGCCUGGGAACCUCCAUAUGCCACAGGUGGG